AAAAGUAAAAGAUAAAAACAUAUACGCUGUGUAUAAUGACGACUGCUUUAUGUGAUGUCCAGCAGAAAUUAGUAUGUCUGUUGUCCUAUAAGAUUAAAGGUUUUAGUUACGGGAUUAAUUAAUUUUGUUACAAUAUCAAGGGCUUCUUCACCAGAGACACUUAAACAGCAUUAUAUAUUCUUUCAGAUGUUGAAUACAGUAAUUAUAGACAUGUAUAAAGGUUUGAUAUACAUUAAGUAUACUUGGCGGUGAUCACGAGAGUUGGCAUUCUCAUACGAGGGCAUAUUUUGAAAUUGUAAAAAAAAUCAUUCAUGGUAUACGUUAUAUUACACGAAGCAAAAGUCUAUUUCAAUAAUCUUUCAAAUUUAACAUUGAUUAAAUGGAAAUUGAGAGAAAAUUAACAUAUAUUAAAACAUAUGAUGCCAAAUUAAAUUUCUGGAGUAUAACACGCAUUUUAUUAUAUCUUCAUUUAGUGUUGUUCACAAUGACAAUGUUUGUUCUCUAUCAUAUAGUUAUUGCGUAAACAUAAGAACCAUCAUCUAAUCCAGUAGAACAUAGAACUGUUCUCUACCCCUUACAAGGGAACCUUCAUUGUGAGUCUAAGAUGUGCAGAUAAAACGAACACUGUAACUUUGUCUUAUAGAAAAGAAUGGACGACAAAGAUAUCAAUCUGCGAAUCUUUGAUUUUUACAUUUCCCACAAUUAAGAUAUGUAAAAAGUGUUCACUGAAGAAAAGUCUCGAGGACGCCAUAAUUAAAUGGUCAUAUACUACAAAGAGGAUAUGCACCUGUUUGAAGAACCCCUAUAGCGGAGGAAUAUACUGAAAACUGGCAACGACUUUGUAUAUUUACAUACGUACGCAACAACGUAAAUAUUUACAUGGGAAACCUCCCUCGUGUAUAUUUUUUCUCGUUUUUCGCAUCAAGUGAUUGUAAGAUUCAAACUGCAACUGCUGUCCAGUUCGAGUUGAGAACAAGCGAAGAUAAUUCAGUGUCACAAUUCAACAUAUUGAUGAAGGGUGCAGGAGAUCAGCCGUAUGAAUGCCCUUUCAACCUAAUUAAAGAUUUUUUUACCAUAAGCCAACAUUUUUCGUAAUAGCAACACAAGAAUGUCGACACAAAACAGGUCAUUAAAGACUUCAAGCUUUCAAUUUGAUACACACGACACGCGUUUCGUCUACAUAAAGCUUAUCAGUGGCAGUGGAGAAAUAGUUGGGUGGCCAAAUUAAACGUUGAAGACCAUGAAAACCAAAAUUUCGAAGAGUUGUGCCAAUUAAGGCUAAGGACAUCUAUGCUUGGGGAAAGAAAACCAUAGUGUUUCGAAUAAUUCAACAUUUUAUAAACAGUAAGUUUACAGAAAAUGAACAUAUCAAUGAUAGUUUAUGUUGACAAAUAGGGUACACAAACUGUUGACAACUUGGCUAGAAAUAUCCUGGAAACAAAAAGUCCCACC